rnacentral:rRNA from 1 species
GACGAACGCUGGCGGCGUGCUUAACACAUGCAAGUCGAACGGAAAGGCCCUGCUUUUGUGGGGUACUCGAGUGGCGAACGGGUGAGUAACACGUGAGUAACCUGCCCUUGACUUUGGGAUAACUUCAGGAAACUGGGGCUAAUACCGGAUAGGAGCUCCUGCUGCAUGGUGGGGGUUGGAAAGUUUCGGCGGUUGGGGAUGGACUCGCGGCUUAUCAGCUUGUUGGUGGGGUAGUGGCUUACCAAGGCUUUGACGGGUAGCCGGCCUGAGAGGGUGGCCGGCCACAUUGGGACUGAGAUACGGCCCAGACUCCUACGGGAGGCAGCAGUGGGGAAUAUUGCACAAUGGGCGGAAGCCUGAUGCAGCAACGCCGCGUGCGGGAUGACGGCCUUCGGGUUGUAAACCGCUUUCGCCUGUGACGAAGCGUGAGUGACGGUAAUGGGUAAAGAAGCACCGGCUAACUACGUG